rnacentral:rRNA from 1 species
AACGCUGGCGGCAUGCUUUACACAUGCAAGUCGAACGGCAGCACGGAAGAGCUUGCUCUUUUGGUGGCGAGUGGCGAACGGGUGAGUAAUGCAUCGGAACGUACCGAGUAGUGGGGGAUAACUGUCCGAAAGGAUGGCUAAUACCGCAUACGCUUUGAGAAGGAAAGCGGGGGCUCUUAGGACCUCGCGCUAUUCGAGCGGCCGAUGUCUGAUUAGCUAGUUGGUGGGGUAAGAGCCUACCAAGGCGACGAUCAGUAGCGGGUCUGAGAGGAUGAUCCGCCACACUGGGACUGAGACACGGCCCAGACUCCUACGGGAGGCAGCAGUGGGGAAUUUUGGACAAUGGGGGCAACCCUGAUCCAGCCAUGCCGCGUGUCUGAAGAAGGCCUUCGGGUUGUAAAGGACUUUUGUCAGGGAAGAAAGGGUUUGUGCUAAUACCACGAACAUAUGACGGUACCUGAAGAAUAAGCACCGGCUAACUACGUGCCAGCAGCCGCGGUAAUACGUAGGGUGCGAGCGUUAAUCGGAAUUACUGGGCGUAAAGCGGGCGCAGACGGUUACUUAAGUCAGAUGUGAAAUCCCCGGGCUCAACCUGGGAACUGCGUUUGAAACUGGGUAGCUAGAGUAUGUCAGAGGGGGGUAGAAUUCCACGUGUAGCAGUGAAAUGCGUAGAGAUGUGGAGGAAUACCGAUGGCGAAGGCAGCCCCCUGGGAUAAUACUGACGUUCAUGCCCGAAAGCGUGGGUAGCAAACAGGAUUAGAUACCCUGGUAGUCCACGCCCUAAACGAUGUCAAUUAGCUGUUGGGGCACUUGAUGCCUUAGUAGCGUAGCUAACGCGUGAAAUUGACCGCCUGGGGAGUACGGUCGCAAGAUUAAAACUCAAAGGAAUUGACGGGGACCCGCACAAGCGGUGGAUGAUGUGGAUUAAUUCGAUGCAACGCGAAGAACCUUACCUGGUCUUGACAUGUACGGAAUCCUCCAGAGACGGAGGAGUGCCUUCGGGAGCCGUAACACAGGUGCUGCAUGGCUGUCGUCAGCUCGUGUCGUGAGAUGUUGGGUUAAGUCCCGCAACGAGCGCAACCCUUGUCAUUAGUUGCCAUCAUUAAGUUGGGCACUCUAAUGAGACUGCCGGUGACAAGCCGGAGGAAGGUGGGGAUGACGUCAAGUCCUCAUGGCCCUUAUGACCAGGGCUUCACACGUCAUACAAUGGUCGGUACAGAGGGUAGCCAAGCCGCGAGGUGGAGCCAAUCUCAUAAAACCGAUCGUAGUCCGGAUUGCACUCUGCAACUCGAGUGCAUGAAGUCGGAAUCGCUAGUAAUCGCAGGUCAGCAUACUGCGGUGAAUACGUUCCCGGGUCUUGUACACACCGCCCGUCACACCAUGGGAGUGGGGGAUACCAGAAGUAGGUAGGGUAACCGCAAGGAGCCCGCUUACCACGGUAUGCUUCAUGACUGGGGUGAAGUCGUAACAAGGUAGCCGUAGGGGAACCUGCGGCUGGAUCACCUCCUUUCUAGAGAAAAGAAGAGGUUGUUGGGUACUCACACUUAUCG